AGGGAUAUAGUACAACGGUAGUAUGUCGGUCUCCAAAACCGCUGAUGUGGGUUCGAUUCCUACUAUCCCUG
rfam:Lactobacillus florum 8D Contig00025, whole genome shotgun sequence.